rnacentral:rRNA from 1 species
AGAGUUUGAUCCUGGCUCAGAGCGAACGCUGGCGGCAGGCUUAACACAUGCAAGUCGAGCGGGCGUAGCAAUACGUCAGCGGCAGACGGGUGAGUAACGCGUGGGAACGUACCUUUUGGUUCGGAACAACACAGGGAAACUUGUGCUAAUACCGGAUAAGCCCUUACGGGGAAAGAUUUAUCGCCGAAAGAUCGGCCCGCGUCUGAUUAGCUAGUUGGUGAGGUAAAGGCUCACCAAGGCAUCGAUCAGUAGCUGGUCUGAGAGGACGACCAGCCACACUGGGACUGAGACUCGGUCCAGACUCCUACGGGAGGCAGCAGUGGGGAAUUUUGGACAAUGGGCGCAAGCCUGAUCCAGCAAUGCCGCGUGAGUGAAGAAGGCCUUCGGGUUGUAAAGCUCUUUUGUCAGGGAAGAGACGGUGAAGGUUAAUACCUUU